AGCUCCAAAAGCGUAUAUUUAAGUUGUUGCAGUUAAAAAGCUCGUAGUUGGAUUUUGGGCGGGACGGGCCGGUCCGCCGUUGCGGUGUGCACUGGCGCGUCUAGUCUUUGUAUUUGUCGAGGACGUAUUUUCCUUGGCCUUCGUUGGCUGGGGUGCGGAGUCGGCGCGGUUACUUUGAAAAAAUUAGAGUGUUCAAAGCGGGCUUACGCUUGAAUAUAUUAGCAUGGAAUAACACGAUAGGACUCCGCUCCUAUUUUGUUGGUCUUCGGGACUGGAGUAAUGAUUAAGAGGAACAGUUGGGGGCAUUCGUAUUUCAUUGUCAGAGGUGAAAUUCUUGGAUUUAUGAAAGACGAACUUCUGCGAAAGCAUUUGCCAAGGAUGUUUUCAUUAAUCAAGAACG
rnacentral:rRNA from 1 species